GAACCAAAGCUAGCCCGACUAACAAACCCCAAUAAAAUUAACUCACCAAACGUAAAACAAAACAUUUAUGAAAAUAAAGUAUAGGAGAUAGAAAUAUUUUUAAGGCGCUAUAGAAAAAGUACCGCAAGGGAACGAGUGAAAGAAAAAUUCAGAGUAAUAAACAGCAAAGAUUACACCUUCUACCUUUUGCAUAAUGAGUUAACUAGAAAACCUUAGCAAAGAGACCUUAAGUUAAAUACCCCGAAACCAGACGAGCUACCUGCAAGCAGCAAACAAGAGCAAACUCAUCUAUGUGGCAAAAUAGUGAGAAGACUUUCAGGUAGAGGUGAAAAGCCUAUCGAGCCUGGUGAUAGCUGGUUAUCCAGGAAAGAAUAUAAGUUCAACUUUAAUCCAUACAAAAUAAUUCUUAAUACAAACUUUCAAUGUAGGAUUAAAUCUUAAUCUAAAGAGGUACAGCCCUUUAGAUACAGGAUACAACCUUAAAUGGAGAGUAAGUAGAAAAAACCUACCAUAGUUGGCCUAAAAGCAGCCACCAAUUAAGAAAGCGUUCAAGCUCAACAACUUAAACAACAUAAUUCCAAUAGUAUAACUAACUCCCAAAAAACCCAACUGGAUUAAUCUAUACAACAAUAGAAGAAAUACUGUUAACAUGAGUAACAAGAAAAUUUUUCUCCUUGCACAAGCCUAUAUCAGUAUCGGAUAACCCACUGAUAGUUAACAAACCAAUAAUAAUAACCCAAAAAUAAAAGACUUAUUAAGCAAGUUGUUAACCCAACACAGGUGUGCUAUCAUUCAAAGGAAAGAUUAAAAGAAGUAAAAGGAACUCGGCAAACACAAACCCCGCCUGUUUACCAAAAACAUCACCUCUGGCAUCAAUAGUAUCAGAGGCACUGCCUGCCCAGUGACAUAAGUUAAACGGCCGCGGUAUCCUGACCGUGCAAAGGUAGCAUAAUCAUUUGUUCUUUAAUUAAGGACUUGUAUGAAAGGCCACACGAGGGUUUAACUGUCUCUUACUUCCAAUCAGUGAAAUUGACCUUCCCGUGAAGAGGCGGGAAUAGCAUAAUAAGACGAGAAGACCCUAUGGAGCUUUAAUUAACUAGCUCAAUAAAAGUUACACUUUUCUCCGACAGGUAAUAACACAACUAUGACUGAGCUAACAAUUUCGGUUGGGGUGACCUCGGAGCAAAAACCAACCUCCGAGAAAUUUCAGUUCAGACCUACAAGUCGAAACCUGUAAAAAAUCAUAAUUGAUCCAAUAAAUUUUGAUCAACGGAACAAGUUACCCUAGGGAUAACAGCGCAAUCCUAUUUAAGAGUCCAUAUCGACAAUAGGGUUUACGACCUCGAUGUUGGAUCAGGACAUCCCAAUGGUGCAGCCGCUAUUAAUGGUUCGUUUGUUCAACGAUUAAAGUCCUACGUGAUCUGAGUUCAGACCGGAGUAAUCCAGGUCGGUUUCUAUCUAUUAUAUUUUUCUCCCAGUACGAAAGGACAAGAGAAACAAGGCCAACUCAACAUGAGAGCCUUAAAAUUAAUAGAUGAUUUUAUCUUAAUCUAGUAAUUUAUAACAACAUUGCCCGAGAAGCAGGGCUU
rnacentral:rRNA from 1 species